rnacentral:rRNA from 1 species
GAUGAACGCUAGAGGCAGGCUUAAUACAUGCAAGUCGAGGGGCAGCAUGAGUGUAGCAAUACAUUUGAUGGCGACCGGCAAACGGGUGCGGAACACGUACACAACCUUCCUAUAAGUGGGGAAUAGCCCAGAGAAAUUUGGAUUAAUACCCCGUAACAUAAUGAUGUGGCAUCACAUUAUUAUUAUAGCUUCGGCGCUUAUUGAUGGGUGUGCGGCUGAUUAGAUAGUUGGCGGGGUAACGGCCCACCAAGUCUACGAUCAGUAGCUGAUGUGAGAGCAUGAUCAGCCACACGGGCACUGAGACACGGGCCCGACUCCUACGGGAGGCAGCAGUAAGGAAUAUUGGUCAAUGGACGCAAGUCUGAACCAGCCAUGCCGCGUGAAGGAUUAAGGUCCUCUGGAUUGUAAACUUCUUUUAUCUGGGACGAAAAAAGACGAUUCUUCGUCACUUGACGGUACCAGAUGAAUAAGCACCGGCUAACUCCGUGCCAGCCGCCGCCG